rnacentral:lncRNA from 1 species
AGAUAUGUAUUCGAGGCAGGACAGCAGGCUCUUACUUUUAUGCAAGGAAAAGAUUUUGGGUGCUUAGUAGACGUAAAUGUAAUUUCCUUAGAAAGAAGCAGUUCAUACUCCUCAGAGGAAUCACUGGAAAGUACUUUUGGCGAAUAUGACCUCAACAACUUACAAACGUCACAGGGAGAACCAUUUCAGAGAACAUGUUCAAUUAGAAGUUUGCAGCAGUUUAGAG